rnacentral:rRNA from 1 species
AUUGAACGCUGGCGGCAUGCUUUACACAUGCAAGUCGAGCGGCAGCGCGGGGCAACCCUGGCGGCGAGCGGCGAACGGGUGAGUAAUAGAUAGGAACGUAUCCGGGAGUGGGGGAUAACUAGCCGAAAGGUUAGCUAAUACCGCAUAUUCUCUUAGGAGGAAAGCGGGGGACCAGUAAUGGCCUCGCGCUCGCGGAGUGGCCUAUCUCCGAUUAGCUAGUUGGUGAGGUAAAGGCUCACCAAGGCGACGAUCGGUAGCUGGUCUGAGAGGAUGAUCAGCCACACUGGGACUGAGACACGGCCCAGACUCCUACGGGAGGCAGCAGUGGGAAUUUUGGACAAUGGGGGCAACCCUGAUCCAGCCAUGCCGCGUGCGGGAAGAAGGCCUGGUGU